CAGUCGCCGCGGUAAUACGAAAGGUCCAAGCGUUACUCGGAAUUACUGGGCGUAAAGCGCGCGUAGGCGGUCUUGUAUGUCGAUUGUGAAAGCCCCGGGCUCAACCUGGGAACUGCAGUCGAAACUGCAAGACUUGAAUGUUGGAGAGGUUGGGGGAAUACCUAGUGGAGAAGUGAAAUUCGUAGAGAUUAGGUGGAACACCAGAGGCGAAGGCGCCUGACUGGCCAAACAUUGACGCUAAGGCGCGAAAGCGUGGGUAGCAAACAGGAUUAGAGACCCGCGUAGUCCCUGUCUCUUAUAC
rnacentral:rRNA from 1 species